rnacentral:rRNA from 1 species
GACGAACGCUGGCGGCGUGCCUAAUACAUGCAAGUCGAGCGAAGUUUUUCUGGUGCUUGCACCGGAAAAACUUAGCGGCGAACGGGUGAGUAACACGUAAGAACCUGCCUCAUAGACUGGGACAACUAUUGGAAACGAUAGCUAAUACCGGAUAAUAGCAUUAACUGCAUGGUUGAUGUUUAAAAGUUGGUUUUGCUAACACUAUGAGAUGGCUUUGCGGUGCAUUAGCUAGUUGGUGGGGUAAAGGCCUACCAAGGCGACGAUGCAUAGCCGACCUGAGAGGGUGAUCGGCCACACUGGGACUGAGACACGGCCCAGACUCCUACGGGAGGCAGCAGUAGGGAAUCUUCCGCAAUGGGCGAAAGCCUGACGGAGCAACGCCGCGUGAGUGAAGAAGGAUUUCGGUUCGUAAAGCUCUGUUGUUAGGGAAGAAUGAUUGUGUAGUAACUAUACACAGUAGAGACGGUACCUAACCAGAAAGCCACGGCUAACUACGUG